GGGUUGUGAGGUUAAGCGACUAAGCGUACACGGUGGAUGCCCUGGCAGUCAGAGGCGAUGAAGGACGUGCUAAUCUGCGAAAAGCGUCGGUAAGGUGAUAUGAACCGUUAUAACCGGCGAUGUCCGAAUGGGGAAACCCAGUGUGAUUCGUCACACUAUCGUUAACUGAAUACAUAGGUUAACGAGGCGAACCGGGGGAACUGAAACAUCUAAGUACCCCGAGGAAAAGAAAUCAACCGAGAUUCCCCCAGUAGCGGCGAGCGAACGGGGAGCAGCCCAGAGUCUGAAUCAGCUUGUGUGUUAGUGGAACGGUCUGGAAAGUCCGACGGUACAGGGUGAUAGUCCCGUACACCAAAAUGCACAGGCUGUGAACUCGAAGAGUAGGGCGGGACACGUGGUAUCCUGUCUGAAUAUGGGGGGACCAUCCUCCAAGGCUAAAUACUCCUGACUGACCGAUAGUGAACCAGUACCGUGAGGGAAAGGCGAAAAGAACCCCGGCGAGGGGAGUGAAAAAGAACCUGAAACCGUGUACGUACAAGCAGUGGGAGCACCUUUAUGGUGUGACUGCGUACCUUUUGUAUAAUGGGUCAGCGACUUAUAUUCUGUAGCAAGGUUAACCGUAUAGGGGAGCCGCAGGGAAACCGAGUCUUAACUGGGCGUUAAGUUGCAGGGUAUAGACCCGAAACCCGGUGAUCUAGCCAUGGGCAGGUUGAAGGUUGGGUAACACUAACUGGAGGACCGAACCGACUAAUGUUGAAAAAUUAGCGGAUGACUUGUGGCUGGGGGUGAAAGGCCAAUCAAACCGGGAGAUAGCUGGUUCUCCCCGAAAGCUAUUUAGGUAGCGCCUCGUGAACUCAUCUUCGGGGGUAGAGCACUGUUUCGGCUAGGGGGUCAUCCCGACUUACCAACCCGAUGCAAACUACGAAUACCGAAGAAUGUUAUCACGGGAGACACACGGCGGGUGCUAACGUCCGUCGUGAAGAGGGAAACAACCCAGACCGCCAGCUAAGGUCCCAAAGUCAUGGUUAAGUGGGAAACGAUGUGGGAAGGCACAGACAGCCAGGAUGUUGGCUUAGAAGCAGCCAUCAUUUAAAGAAAGCGUAAUAGCUCACUGGUCGAGUCGGCCUGCGCGGAAGAUGUAACGGGGCUAAACCAUGCACCGAAGCUGCGGCAGCGACACUAUGUGUUGUUGGGUAGGGGAGCGUUCUGUAAGCCUGCGAAGGUGACCUGUGAGGGUUGCUGGAGGUAUCAGAAGUGCGAAUGCUGACAUAAGUAACGAUAAAGCGGGUGAAAAGCCCGCUCGCCGGAAGACCAAGGGUUCCUGUCCAACGUUAAUCGGGGCAGGGUGAGUCGACCCCUAAGGCGAGGCCGAAAGGCGUAGUCGAUGGGAAACAGGUUAAUAUUCCUGUACUUGGUGUUACUGCGAAGGGGGGACGGAGAAGGCUAUGUUAGCCGGGCGACGGUUGUCCCGGUUUAAGCAUGUAGGCUGGUUAUCCAGGCAAAUCCGGAUAAUCAAGGCUGAGGUGUGAUGACGAGGCACUACGGUGCUGAAGUAACAAAUGCCCUGCUUCCAGGAAAAGCCUCUAAGCAUCAGGUAACAUCAAAUCGUACCCCAAACCGACACAGGUGGUCAGGUAGAGAAUACCAAGGCGCUUGAGAGAACUCGGGUGAAGGAACUAGGCAAAAUGGUGCCGUAACUUCGGGAGAAGGCACGCUGGUGUGUAGGUGAAGCCCCUGCGGGUGGAGCUGAGACCAGUCGAAGAUACCAGCUGGCUGCAACUGUUUAUUAAAAACACAGCACUGUGCAAACACGAAAGUGGACGUAUACGGUGUGACGCCUGCCCGGUGCCGGAAGGUUAAUUGAUGGGGUUAUCCGUAAGGAGAAGCUCUUGAUCGAAGCCCCGGUAAACGGCGGCCGUAACUAUAACGGUCCUAAGGUAGCGAAAUUCCUUGUCGGGUAAGUUCCGACCUGCACGAAUGGCGUAAUGAUGGCCAGGCUGUCUCCACCCGAGACUCAGUGAAAUUGAACUCGCUGUGAAGAUGCAGUGUACCCGCGGCAAGACGGAAAGACCCCGUGAACCUUUACUAUAGCUUGACACUGAACAUUGAGCCUUGAUGUGUAGGAUAGGUGGGAGGCUUUGAAGCGUGGACGCCAGUCUGCGUGGAGCCAACCUUGAAAUACCACCCUUUAAUGUUUGAUGUUCUAACGUUGGCCCCUUAUCGGGGUUGCGGACAGUGUCUGGUGGGUAGUUUGACUGGGGCGGUCUCCUCCCAAAGCGUAACGGAGGAGCACGAAGGUUAGCUAAUCCUGGUCGGACAUCAGGAGGUUAGUGCAAUGGCAUAAGCUAGCUUGACUGCGAGCGUGACGGCGCGAGCAGGUGCGAAAGCAGGUCAUAGUGAUCCGGUGGUUCUGAAUGGAAGGGCCAUCGCUCAACGGAUAAAAGGUACUCCGGGGAUAACAGGCUGAUACCGCCCAAGAGUUCAUAUCGACGGCGGUGUUUGGCACCUCGAUGUCGGCUCAUCACAUCCUGGGGCUGAAGUAGGUCCCAAGGGUAUGGCUGUUCGCCAUUUAAAGUGGUACGCGAGCUGGGUUUAGAACGUCGUGAGACAGUUCGGUCCCUAUCUGCCGUGGGCGCUGGAGAAUUGAGGGGGGCUGCUCCUAGUACGAGAGGACCGGAGUGGACGCAUCACUGGUGUUCGGGUUGUCAUGCCAAUGGCACUGCCCGGUAGCUAAAUGCGGAAGAGAUAAGUGCUGAAAGCAUCUAAGCACGAAACUUGCCCCGAGAUGAGUUCUCCCUGAGACUUUAAGUCUCCUGAAGGAACGUUGAAGACGACGACGUUGAUAGGCCGGGUGUGUAAGCGCAGCGAUGCGUUGAGCUAACCGGUACUAAUGAACCGUGAGGCUUAACCUUACAACGCCGAAG
rnacentral:rRNA from 1 species